AUCGAAAGUCCGUAAACCCACGAUGUUUUGUAAGGCAACGAUGUUUUUCGAAAAAUUCGAUGAACUGUAUGCUGUACAUUAGUGUGAAAGAGAAAACAUGAUUUGUAUUUUCAUCGAUGUUUCGCUGAGCAGGCUAUCUCGCUCUAUCACGAUUGCGAAAAUUCGGGAGAACUGUCAAACCGAAAAUUCUCGCGUCGUUUGCGUGUUGGUUUGGUCGGCAAGAAAAAGUUUUCCACGAUUUUUCCCGUCAAAUUCAGUAUUUAAUAAAAAAAAGUACGAUUCAAAUUUGAUGGGAAUUGAUUUCAUUUGCCGACUGGACGAAUUUCUCAGUUUUGUUCCGGAUUGUUGAUCGGUGGACACGAGUUGCCGGAAGUAUGCGGGUCUGUAAAACAUGGUGCACUUUGAACUCAGGAGCGAGCAGUUUUGGACAAUCAGCCGGCCGCCAAACCGCCAAUCUUGGAAAGCGGAAACAAUAUCAUGUGGCCACGGAAUCACCGGUCAGCAAAUCCAUCCACCGGAACUUCCUAGUUCUCAUCAACAGCUCGGGCCGGGCAUCAUGGAUCACGGCGAGAACUAAAAGAACUUUAAUAAUUGGAAGUCAGGUGGACAGAUAUAUUGAAUCUGGUGCUUGGAGGUUUUUAAUCGAGUUUUCAAUUGUAAAUAGUGCGGUUCCACAGUAGGAUGACACCAGCUUGUUGGAGCAAUUGGAGACGGAACCGGAUGUCGGCUUUACAAGAUUGAGUAAACCGAGACUUAAAAGGAAAAGAUUGUCUGAAGGAGCUCGAACCGGAUUCAAAGAACCCCUCCAAUCGGACCAAGUGACAGCAAAUGCCGCAUCAUCAACGCCGGAGGCAGCGGAACCGUUACCGCCGAAAAAUAGGCCUGUUCCUGAGCAAUUCACGAGUUCAACUUGAUCCGCAAGUUUCCGGAUGUGCAUGAUGGUGUCCAGCGUCUGCAGAAUCUGCUCUAUCUGUACAACUGUAAUGAGACGAAACUGAUCGCUGGCGAAAUUUGACGAAUCCGUCGAGAUGAUAUCAAGCAAGGCGGCGGUGGCCAAUACCAGUCAGUCGGUGACCAGAAUCGCACAUAAGCUUCAUAACAUUCGUCGAGCUGACCUCCCCCGAGUCCGAACUUCAGUGCAUACCCACGAACGCCAUUUCCUGCAUCGGCCGAGAAUCUGCAAGUUGGGAAAAAAAGAAGCAGCAACAAUAGCAGCCGGGUCGGUGAGCCGGUCAAAUCGCCGGAAGGUGGUCUGGUGUCAAGCCUACGAGAAAGUUAUUAUAGUACUUCUAGUUUGGACGCUGAUAAUAGCAUAUCCUUGAUCGCAAAAGUCAGCACCUCAAGCGGCAAAGCAGCUCGCACCUGCACAAGUUUACCAUUGUCUACCAUAGUUGCACCACCUCACAUCGUUGGUGGCUGGAAAAAGUAACGGAUUGCGAAUCAGCCGUGGCGGUCCGGCAGGAAUCGUCAUGUUUUAAACGAAUAGUCCAGCAAGUUCCCUCGGAAUGACGCUGGUCGGAACAAGCUCGCCGGACGGUCCCCAACUUUGGUACGCCGCUGAACGGAAUAGGUUCUUGCAAUCCAGAACUACCACCAGAGCGGCCAUGGUUCUAGAUUAAGUUCGCCGGAUGGUCGCCAACUUGCAAUUACCUUCGGAACGUCGAUUUAAAAGCUGCACGGACGCCAAAAGCCAAGAUCAAAUGAAUCCCGUAAACGAUCCUGGCCGAUAGCUUUUUAAAUUUUGGUAACACGGUUUACCGGGCGAUCGCCAACCUGGAAGUUCCCGCGGAACAAGGCUGGACGGACAUGGCCCUAGAAAUACAUAUCACGAAAUAGGCACGACGCCUAGAAGCUCCGUUUCCGUCGCAUUUCCUCUCGCUCAUGCCACCUCAUGUAUUGUGGCAACUUCUGGAUCGCCACCGCCUCCUUCGGACGGUCCACCUUCAUCGGAAAAGAUAAACGACGACCGGGACAAUCGUGGAAUGUGGUAAAUAUCGUGACUCGUACGGAGGAGGUGGCGGUCGUGGACCUCGAAGACAAAUGCAACCUCCAAGGUUGGCCACCCGGCAACAGCGAGACCAGCACAAGGAUCACGCCGAUCACCAACGUAAUUCGUCGUCGGCGGCGGCUCCGUUGAUGGAGAUUGUCGUUUAACAGCCCACCAUCCACCUUAGACAACAGCCACCUCCCUCGCAAUAGAAUGGCCACGUCGGCGUCGGAGGUCGUGGACUGGACGCCGAGGCCAAGGAACGUCUAAUGUAGCGUCGCGAGGAUGACCAGCGAAGGGCUAUGGAAAACAAGCAAGCCGCGGCCAGGAAGCUGAAGAGUAAGAAGGGUGAAGACGGAGGACCGGGGUCUUCACCAGCAAUGAUACGGCAAGUGUCAACCGGUGGGUGUCGAUCGGGACGUUCGUGACCCCGGUAACAUGGUCCCACGAGAGAUCAUGAAGCGUCGCAUUGACUCUGAGGAGGACGAAGGCUUAAGCAGCGGUAACCAGAGUCGUCAAGAUGGGCGGCGGCAGUGGCCGUACAACGCCGCAGUUGAAUCGAAGCGUUUCGAGCGAUAACAAUUAACUAUCGCCAGCACGACCAUCAGCUGCAGCAGAUCAUUAUUGAAUCUUGGGAGAGUGAAGCGGAAAAAGGAUCGUCGACUAGCGGAGGCAGCCGCUGCGUUGGCCAAGGAAAACCAGAUGCAGCAGUUCCAGUCAAGUUCCAGUCGCAACACGAUUCGCGUUGAAUUUCGGAAUUGUCGGCGCUUUCGGAGAGCAGAUUCUUGGGCGGAUCAAGGAAACUUCGGACAAGCUGGAGUCAUAAAAAGUGGUGGAGGCCAGCGAAACUUAGCAACCUUGGGAGGCCUUGGGAAGAAUCGGUAGAAGCUUCGGAGAAAGCGAGCUAGUCACUUAACGUGUGCGCAACCUCAUUGGACACAUGACGACAAAAAGGAUGCUUCCGGAUCGGAUGCUGGUAAAAACGACACUGGUGGUGUGUCUGCGGACCGUUCAGGUGCACUCGAUUGAGCUCAUGAACAAGGAUUCCAAAUGGCGGCACGAACAACGAUUCCAAAGCCCGGAAGAAUCUCCGGAAUCUAGUCCCUCGAAGUGCUUGCCGGAAAUGCACCGACCAUGAACUGACCCGGUUAUGGCCCUGCAACUAUCCUCGAAACACGACGGGUGGCCUAUUGCUUUUCAAAAUUUCGGUUCAUCCGGAAUCCGGAAAUGCCACACGGAACUGCAACAGACCACAAGGUUCCCUCGGAAAUGAACAGGCUGCAGGAACUGCAAUACUUGGCACUGUUGAAGUUGCAGGUUGCCAAUCGGAACGCGCAUGGCAACAAUUGGACGACUCCGAACCUGGAUCCUGACGGAAGCCGCCACUUGACCCGUGCAUGCGAUUACAAUCGUCUGGCCCGAUAUCGUCCGGAACUGGUACGAGGGACGGCCAUGGCAUUGCCAGCGAUCUUGGAACUACAACGCCUGGAACAGGCCUGAAGACAGCCCACAAGUGCCUUCGGAGCGACGAGUUGGACGCUCGUCAAGGAGCAGAGCAAAUAGAACGUUCCAGGCAUUCGUCCUCCUCUCAAGCGCAUUCCGGAACUGCCACGCCGGAAGGCCACGUCCCUGCAGAUGUAUUCUGUACGACGCACCACGGAUCAGGAUCGAUGGACUGCUGUCGCGAUGCAAGUGCCCUUGGAACGGCCGCUGGAACGCGUCCAACUCCAAUUAAACCGGAGCCAGUUCCCCUCGUCCAGAGCAUUCCUUUGAACACCGUUUGUGCCGGGAAAUCGUGCCUAAGUUAGUGAUGCGGAGCAGCUAAACUAAUUGUAGCAAAAUAAACGAAUUAAAACCUGAAAACAAUUGUUUCAAUCAAAACAAACCCAAUGACAGAUGACAGAAAAAGAAGAAGAAGAGCGCAAAAAAGGGGUUGAUGCGCGUCCGAUUUUUCACGCUUACGUCGUUCUUACAUCGGCCACGCACGUAGGCCUUCCGCGAUGUUCGAACAACCUUGACAGGUUGACGUUUCGGGUGCAAAACACCUUGAUUCGGGUCUGAUGCGUGUCUCAAAAUCAGACACGCAUCGG